CACUGGCUGAGCUUGUCCAGGUAGACCCACGGGCCAGAGCUGACACAUCGUCUUGUUGGGAGACUCGUGCAGUAGUUUCUAACACCCCAGCUUAUGAUGGGCACCAACCUCUUCUGUAUUGCUGUUCACGGGACAUGGAAAUACAAUGUCAGCAAGGCCACGGCAGGAUGCACUCCCUUGGCGAAGCAAUCUUGAUGCUGUUUCACGGUCCACUCUGCAAUGACGAGAAGACAUAUCCAAACCAGAGACGUAGAAGUGACGGCCCAGAAUUGCAUGGAAUGGCGCAGGAUGGUCCACAAGAGACGUUGCCUUGAUGCAGACCACUUGACACAACGAUGAAGAGACCUUAUCAAGUAUCAAGUAAGUCAGUAUGAUUAUCUUACGGUUAUCUGACGGUGUUUUUUUUUGCGAGUUACUGUGUGAAGGAAAGACAAAGUUAUGUUUUAGAUAAUUGAUGUGACGUGUCAUAAAAGCGCGACUUGAGCCCCUAACGUUUUUCUGCAUCAAAAACCAGGAUCAUCCCCAGUCCAUUCUACUCCACAGCUGCAUAACAGUCGAGCCUAACGAUU